rnacentral:tRNA from 1 species
GCCAGCGUGGCACAGUGGUUUGAGUGUAGGACUAUGACUCUGGAGACCAGGGUUUGAUUCCCAGCUUGGUCC